GAUGAACGCUGGCGGCGUGCCUAAUACAUGCAAGUCGAGCGAGCAGACGAGGAGCUUGCUCCUCUGACGUUAGCGGCGGACGGGUGAGUAACACGUGGAUAACCUACCUAUAAGACUGGGAUAACUUCGGGAAACCGGAGCUAAUACCGGAUAAUAUAUUGAACCGCAUGGUUCAAUAGUGAAAGACGGUUUUGCUGUCACUUAUAGAUGGAUCCGCGCCGCAUUAGCUAGUUGGUAAGGUAACGGCUUACCAAGGCAACGAUGCGUAGCCGACCUGAGAGGGUGAUCGGCCACACUGGAACUGAGACACGGUCCAGACUCCUACGGGAGGCAGCAGUAGGGAAUCUUCCGCAAUGGGCGAAAGCUUGACGGAGCAACGCCGCGUGAGUGAUGAAGGUCUUCGGAUCGUAAAACUCUGUUAUUAGGGAAGAACAAAUGUGUAAGUAACUAUGCACGUCUUGACGGUACCUAAUCAGAAAGCCACGGCUAACUACGU
rnacentral:rRNA from 1 species